AAAAGGGACUAUUUUAAGAGCUUCUUAUGCAUGCCACAUAAGACAAAAUAUUUAGAACCAAUCAUUUAGACAUGUCAGGUUUUUGUUUUACGGGCCUCGAACCAUCCAAUUUCAUAAAAAUACCGAACCCAUUUGUUAUGUUUUCGCCUUAAGUGGUCCAACGUUCCUUCUAUCGCUAUGUUAACCUAAUCACCUAAAGUCAUCUCUGUCGUCUCCCCAACUCCUCAGGUCAUACGCUUCCGGCGACAAUGGUGGAACUUCAAUGCACUUCAAUACAACACAAUUCAACACAUCGUUUAACUCUCCACAUCCUUGCAUACUCUUGAAGAUAUUGAUGCCUCUUCAAAAUACCCUAAUUACUCACUCAGACGAAAGACAUCCCAACUCUCUAUGUUCCCUCUUCAAACUCCAUAUAUAUACCCCAACACAACAAUCUAUGCUCAGAUCCUUAAAUCCAUUCCUAGCACCAUGGUAAACCAAACUUCAGUCACCAUCGCUCAAGCUCCUUCUCCACUUUUCUUUACGCAAGUUUCAGCAGGACCAGGUGAUUCAAAGUUGCAGUUUCGGCUAAUCCAUUUCUGGGAAGCUCGCAAACAUGCCAAAGGAGGCAUCCUUAUCGGGAUUGAGAUGCUGAUGAUUAAUGAACAAGUAUGUGUCACUGUCUCAUCCUUCUUUCUUUCGACUUCCUCUGACUAUUUAUUUCAUCACUAACAGAACAGACCUCUUUUAAUUAAUGUGCUCAAUAUCUAUCUAUACAAUGUUCAUCACUGUGUCUUCUGCAUAUAUAUUUGUUAGAGACAACAAUAUGAAUUAUCACACCAUACUUUUACAUAUUCAGCUGAAUUAAUCUUUUUUUAUCUGAUCUCUAGGGCACUGUCCCCCAGUGGUUCAUUGCUCAAAACCGUGUUACAGCUCAAACGUGGAAGCAUCUACACUUUGACAAACUUCUUUGCAUCCAACAGCAAGGUGAUGUACGGUGUGGCUGACCAGAAGCUGGUUAUUUGUAUCACACAUACCUCUAUCCUGUCAAAGCUUGAAGAAAACAUUGAAGGCAUUCCGUCUCAGUGCUUCAGGAUCCAUUCCUUUCCAGAUUUUGAAGCCAACUGCUAUCUUAGAUGGGAUCUUUAUGAUGUUGUUGGUUACCUUAAGUUGGUUGGACGGCCAGGCUCUCCAUCAACGUCCCGUUUUACGCACCAAGGAUGGCUCAACUUCACAGAAAAUUAUGGUCCACCUGCAGAUUAAAGAUGGUCCCGUUAUGAACGUCUACCUAUGGGACCAAGCUGCAUACUAUCCUUAUGAACAUCGAACAUACUAUCCUUGACUGUCACAAAAAUAGUCUCCCCUGAAGUCUUACCACCUAAGGAUCGCCCACUUGAGAUGCCUCCCAUGCCUAUUUCUUCGAGCCAAAACAACCACACAGCCAGUGAAGUGGAUAGCUCAGUGGUGACUAAGAGCAGUGGUCGAGGGUUUUCCUAUGCAAACAGUCAUCCCAGCUCAGCAACUGACGAGGAGAAGAAACCAAAACGCAUUAGGCGUAAUGGUUGAUCAUCCUGCACUCAUGUCACUCAAUCAAUGGUUGGUACAGACUUCCCAGCCAGCAUGCUUUUCUAAUAACAGUCUUUUUUUUCGCUUUGUCGUUUUGUUUCCUUCUGACAGUGUGCUAUUGGCUUUCUUCUUUAGAGUGGUUUGUUUUUGCACCCGAGUCUUGGUUAUGCAUUUAUAAAACUUUUUACGUUCACCUGUUCCUUAUUAUCCUUAAAACAGAGACAAAUAAUUAAUGAAUGAAGACAAAAUAUGAUCUUCUCUUCUUUAUACAAAUCUUCUCUAUUUUCUUUGAACAAUUAAUUAUUUCUUCUGUCGAACUAUUUUCUUUUUAAAGCUGUGACACUUUUUACUCUCCCUCAGUCCUCAAUGUAUAAACCUUCUACGACAGGAUAAUAUCCUCACAAUAGCGCUACCGCAACCUGAAUUACAGUUUAAUCAUGUCAACUAUAUAUCUACGUAUACUAUAAACCGAUAUCGAUCAAUCUAUACUAUUAAAAUAGAAGUCAUGACUUAAUUCAUGUGUGAUUUUUUUAAAUUUGGAUCACCCUUAGAAAAUUGUUUAAAUUAUUUUUUGUAUAAAUAUUUCAGUUAUUUGAAUAUUCUAUAACAAACAAAUCAAAUAGAUAUUCCUAUAUUUUCUAUCAAAUUGUGUCUGAAUAAAAACCCUUUCAUAUCCUUUUUACAAUAUAAAAUAUAUUUUAUUUUUCAUUAAAAUAAAGCUUUUAAAUAUUUAAUCAAUUUCGUAUUUGUUUAAAAUAAAUGUAUAUUUCAUUUUUCACUUCAGCAAAAAAUAAAUUUUUAGUCAAUUUCGUGUUUAUUUGAAAAUUAAAUAUAUAUUUCAUUUUAAUUAAAACAAACUUUUAAAAUAUCUAAUUAAUUUUUUAAUUAUAACUAAUAUCAUGUACAAUAUUUUACUAAAUUUAUGAUACUAAUUUAAUAUAAUAAUUUCCAAUUAAAGUUUUGAUCCUUAAUCAAUAAGAUUUUUCAAUUUAGAAUUUAAUAUCAGAUGAUUUAAUAUAUGCUAUCACUGAAAAUUCAAAACAUAUAAAUUAAGUUACUGCAUGUGCAUGUGCAUGUGCAUGUGAACUAUAAAACUGUUGUGUUUUAAAAUAUUAUAUUAAACAAUUUGUAAUAUGUUAAAUAUUACAGUUAACCAUGUAAAAUAAAUAAUUAUGUGUAUAAAAAUGAAAAUAACAACUAUUCGGUUGUGCGGGUCGAGAUGUAGUAUGUAUUUAAAAAUCAAGCAAACUAAUUGCUUCUUUAACACCUUCAGAAUCUGCCUUUCAUACAGUCCAAAUUAGAGCUACCAACCCUUCAUACAUAUACCGGCCUCUUUGUCCCAUAUAGUAAGUCCAUAUAGUCAGUCCAGGGUUGUAUGAAGGUCAUAUACUAAAUAUAAGGAUUAUGUCAAACUUAUUGCUUAGAAACAUUUCACUAUUAAAGGAAACUAUUACUCACCACAACACCAGGAACACGUUUCUGCUUCUACUUUGACGACAACAUUGAUAUCAUAAAACGAUUCCAAAAGAAGAAUAAACUUCUACCCUCCAAAUGAAUGCAUGGCUACACAUAGGCUCAAAUCAACAACAAUCAACAAUAUAGAAAAUAUGAUUACCUACUACCAAAUAUAUUAUUUUUCAUAUUUUUUGACAUAUUUUCAUAUAAAUAUAUUUUAUUCAAACUUGCUGUUAUUAAAAAGGAAAAGUAAUCGCCAUAUCAUCUUAUGAUACAAACUCCAUUGGAUAAUAUUUCACCAAAAACUCCCUUUCAUAUAUAUAAAAAAAUUUAUUCUUAACAGUUGUCACUUACAAUUAUUCAAACUAAUAAUAUUAUUUACUCACACCUUAUUUAAAACCAUUAAAGCAUUUCAAAAACUAGCUAAACAUAUAAUAUAACUGAUUUAAUCAUGUUAUCCGUGCAUAGCACGGACCGGAAUCUAGUAAAUACAAUAUCUAGUGAUAAACCUAAAUUGCGAUAUAACUAUAAAUACAUAAACCUAAUAAAUAAAACAGUGUUUUUUGUAUAACAAGUAUGUUCAUUAUAUAAUGCUUUUAUAUACGGAAAGUAAAUAAUUUUUUUUAAUAAGAAAAAGAAACUCAAUAUUUAACAAAUAACGACUAUCAAAAUACUAAAAUAAAAAAAUCAAGAAACAUUAUUUAAUAUUUCAUUUCAUAUCUAUAAUUAAUUAAAUUUGAAACAUGUUCUCAUAUAUAGAAAAAUUCUAAAAAACAAUUUGCAAAUACAUAAUUGAUUUCAGUGUGCAAACAUGUCAUUAUUUUAGAUAUUUACUUGGAUUAUCAGCUAGUAUAGCAUAAAUAGCAAUCCUGCUUCUGUCAUGGAGAUCUUAAAGAGUCUCUCUCCCUAAUUUCUCAGAGCACAAUCAAAGUCCAAUAAUUACUAUAUGGUGUGUUCUAUAACACAAAAUCGCACAAACGUUUCUAAUGGAAAGCGAAAAGUAUUAUUGAUUAAAAACUAAUGACGAGCAACAGACGGUAGCAUCAGUUCUUCACAUAAGCAAAAAUCAUCUAAGAUUGUGAUUUCUAAAACUAAACAAGAAUCUCACCGUUCUUAUAUAACGUUCUAGUUAGUUCAAAUGAAAGUGCAAUUAACAAAACAAGCAUGUAGUGGAUCAGACUCACCAAUACCAUGAAACUUAAUCCAAUUAUUCAUUUAACUCGAAUCAGAUACGAAGCUGUGUAACUAAAAGGAAAAGAGUUCCGAAACAUGAACACGAUUUAUUAAAGAAUAAAAACAGUUUUAAAGAGAUUAAGCCCGCCCUGCAGAGCAUCAAUUUCAUCCAUAGUGUGAUCUAACCGAAGCAAAGAAA